UAAAGAGAAUUGGUUGAACUCUCUACUCCU
rnacentral:piRNA from 1 species